AAUCCAUGGUAAGGGCAUCUUCUCAAUAGAUCCUUGUAUCUCUUCCAUGCAUCGUAAAGUGUUUCUAAGUAGAUCUGCACAAAAGAAGAGAUAUCAUUGCAUAAU
rnacentral:snoRNA from 1 species